UUCUCUAACACCACUCUUCUCUUCAUCAUUUCGCAUAUCUAUACAUUUUUCUAGGGUUUAUGUUCCAACGACGGUUUAUGUUGCCGGAGAAUGCGAAGACGGAACAGGUAAAGGCGAGUUUGGAGAACGGCGUUCUGACUGUGACAGUUCUCAAGGAGCCGGAGGGUUUUGGAAAGAAGUAAACUGUUAAUACAAGAAUCAAGAUCCUUGUUUAGUGCCUAAUCGCUACCAUUAAUACUCUCUUAAUAUGUCAUCACUCAAAGGGGUUCACAGCUACAGUCUACAGAGGCGAUGGCGGUCACAACAAAGCUACUCAGUCUGCAGUUCCUCCAUCGGCCGCCCAAGGCUCGAAAUACCUUACUUCUCUUGCCCAAACUGACUCCUUCACUGUCUUUCUCUGUCCUGAAUCCCUCAGUCGUCGUCCUCAGAAAUUUCUCCCGCACUCGUCCAUCCAUCCCCCUGAGAACUACAAAUAUGGGUCAGAUCCAGUAUUCCGAGAAAUAUUUUGAUGAUACUAAUGAGUAUCGUCAUGUGGUUCUUCCUCCAGAAGUGGCCAAUCUGCUUCCCAAGAAUCGUCUUCUAUCUGAGAUUUCAAGUUAUUAACAGAGAAGGGGAUUUGGCUUAAAUAGCUAUAAUGGCUCUCGAUGGUGCCUCUAGAUGUCAAUAUAGUAGUUGGGACAAAGUUACAAGCUAUAAUAACUCAAAUGGCAGUUGAAAUCCUAGAAAGGCAUGCUGUUGUACAAGGCAUACCUCUAGUUCAAGUCUCAGACAAACACUUUUGGUUUUCCUGGCCUAAAUUAGUACUCCAUUUAAUUCAUCUAACUCUCUUUCAGAAUGCAUUCGAGCUUAAUUACUUCUUCUAGAUAUGGUAUGAGUUUGGGUUGAGGUCCUUCCUUCAUAAGAACUUUAAACUUCAAAUAUUGAGAGUUAUUGUCGGGAUAGGGACACAGUUUCUGUGCAGUUACAUAACUCUUCCACUAUACGCACUUGUGACACAGGUUGUUAUUUACUUGCAUUUAAAAAAAAUCAUAUAAAUUGAUAUUCUUGUGUAGCCAUCAUUUCUCCAGAGAUGCCUACGGUACAAAGUACAGGCAAAGCACAAAAGGAGUUACAGAAGACUUUCCUUGCCCGUUCUGUUUGGCCAAAUGUGCUAGUUUUAAGGUUUAUCAAUAUGUUUUAGUAACUGAUUUAAGUAGAGAAGUGGUUGGAAGAUGAAAGAGGAGUCAUAUCUCUAUAGGAGUAGUUAUUGGAUUGUUGUUUUCUUUAUUGACACUCUUGUGUAUCAAAUAUCAAAGAUUGUUUUAUGAUUUAAAGUCUUAAUAGAUGAA